AUGGCGGCCCGCGUCGGCGCUGUCGUGCUCUGCAUGCUCUUGAUCGUCAGCGCGGGGCUCGUGGCCACGCCGACCGAAGCUCGCGCCGUGCCGGACGUCGUCUACGCUGCCGCGGCCGGCGGUGGCAUCCGUCGGGGCAGGUGGAACAGCGCGAGGAGGCUGGAGGGAGACGCCGCCCGGAAGCGGGAGGUGCCCGGCGGCCCAGACCCGCAGCACCAUCACUAG
rnacentral:rRNA from 1 species